AUCGUCACUCUGGACCCAUAGCUACUCCAUCCCGAGUAGCCAUGGGCUUACCAUAGAAGGAACAAACUCUUAAUCUUAGAACUGCUUUAGGCAGUGGGCGUGAUGGUUAAAAACUCGGCCUUUGGCGUCGACCUCAGACGGAGAUCUACCAAUUAGGAAAUUAGCUGUGAUUUAGAAAAUUUAAUAUUUCGAUGCCAUACUUUCCUAAUCUGCAAAAUUUUUGUAAAUACCUGUGACCUAGUGUCGUGAGCGCUUAGCAACACCUGACACCCACUAAGCUCUCAGCCAGUGGUUCUGAAAGUGGUUCUAGACCAGCAACAACAGCAGUAGCAGCAGCACCUGUGAACUUGUUAGAAAUGCAAAGUUUCAGGCCCAUUCCAGUUCUACUGAAUCUGAAACUCGAAGGGAACAGCAACCUAUGUUUUAAUAAACCCCAAGAACUAUGGCUCCUUAACUCAGAAGGGCCCUUUUUUCUCAAAACAACCUCUGCAAGAUGUAACCUUGACUUCCCAGGAAAAUGAAAGGUAGUUAACAAUUUCCCCCAUCACCUAUGUAACUCCCUAAAUAAAUAAAAAUUACAGGCAGUUGCUCCUGGAGAUUACA
rnacentral:lncRNA from 1 species